rnacentral:rRNA from 1 species
AGUGAACGCUGGCGGUAGGCCUAACACAUGCAAGUCGAACGGCAGCACAGUAAGAGCUUGCUCUUACGGGUGGCGAGUGGCGGACGGGUGAGGAAUACAUCGGAAUCUACUUUUUCGUGGGGGAUAACGUAGGGAAACUUACGCUAAUACCGCAUACGACCUACGGUUGAAAGCAGGGGAUCUUCGGACCUUGCGCGAUUGAAUGAGCCGAUGUCGGAUUAGCUAGUUGGCGGGGUAAAGGCCCACCAAGGCGACGAUCCGUAGCUGGUCUGAGAGGAUGAUAAGCCACACUGGAACUGAGACACGGUCCAGACUCCUACGGGAGGCAGCAGUGGGGAAUAUUGGACAAUGGGCGCAAGCCUGAUCCAGCCAUACCGCGUGGGUGAAGAAGGCCUUCGGGUUGUAAAGCCCUUUUGUUGGGAAAGAAAAGCAGCAGGUUAAUACCCCGCUGUUCUGACGGUACCCAAAGAAUAAGCACCGGCUAACUUCGUG